rnacentral:rRNA from 1 species
GACGAACGCUGGCGGCGUGCUUAACACAUGCAAGUCGAGCGGUAAGGCCCUUUCGGGGGUACGACGAGCGGCGAACGGGUGAGUAACACGUGGGUGACCUGCCCUCAGCUCUGGGAUAAGCCUGGGAAACCGGGUCUAAUACUGGAUAUGACUCCAUGACGCAUGUUGUGGGGUGGAAAGCCUUGUGCGGCUGAGGAUGGGCCCGCGGCCUAUCAGCUUGUUGGUGGGGUGANGGCCUACCAAGGCGACGACGGGUAGCCGGCCUGAGAGGGCGACCGGCCACACUGGGACUGAGACACGGCCCAGACUCCUACGGGAGGCAGCAGUGGGGAAUCUUGCGCAAUGGGCGAAAGCCUGACGCAGCGACGCCGCGUGAGGGAUGACGGCCUCGGUUGUAACGUACUUCUAC